UACAGAGGGUGCUAGCGUUGUUCGGAAUUAUUGGGCGUAAAGAGCUCGUAGGUGGCUUGUCACGUCGGGUGUGAAAGCUUGGGGCUUAACUCCAGGUCUGCAUUCGAUACGGGCUGGCUAGAGGUAGGUAGGGGAGAACGGAAUUCCUGGUGUAGCGGUGAAAUGCGCAGAUAUCAGGAGGAACACCGGUGGCGAAGGCGGUUCUCUGGGCCUUACCUGACGCUGAGGAGCGAAAGCGUGGGGAGCAAACAGG
rnacentral:rRNA from 1 species